GACAAACGCUAGCGGCGUGUAUUAGGCAUGCAAGUCGCACGGUCGCCUCGCAAGAGGUGGCAGUGGCGGACGGGUGAGUAACACGUGGGUAACCUGCCUCGCAGUGGGGAACUAACUCGCCGAAAGGCGAGCUAAUACCGCAUACCACUCUCGGUGAGAAUCCGAGCAGUAAAAGUAGCGAUGCGCUGUGAGAGGGGCCCGCGGCCGAUUAGCUUGUUGGUAGGGAACGCCUACCAAGGCAACGACGGGUAGCUGGUCUGAGAGGACGAUCAGCCACACUGGCACUGAGACACGGCCCAGACUCCUACGGGA
rnacentral:rRNA from 1 species